UCACGUCCUGUGCACUAUACUGGUGAC
rnacentral:piRNA from 1 species